UCGUCAUUGAGGUGUGCUAACGUUCCAUCUGGAAUCACAUCUCUCACUGCAAUUGGAGCCAUUGAUUGAAGAUAGUGAUGGUGUCGUAGCAAACAACUUUUGCGUGGUCUCACGGUGGUCUCGCAGAGAAGGUAAAGGGUUCGCAUUCAGACUUCAGAAACCAAACUGCAAACCAGAAACACUGAGAAGCACACAAACCAAAAACUUAUGCAGCAGCAGCACGAAGAACAUACUAUAACAGAAAAUAAAUCACAAUAUUGUAGUAAAGAAACAAUAAUUGAAAUUAAUAUGAGA
rnacentral:lncRNA from 1 species